rnacentral:rRNA from 1 species
UGGGGGAAUUUUGGACAAUGGGGGAAACCCUGAUCCAGCCAUCCCGCGUGUGCGGUGAAGGCCUUCGGGUUGUAAAGCACUUUUGGCAGGAAAGAAACGUCGCGGGUUAAUACCCCGCGAAACUGACGGUACCUGCAGAAUAAGCACCGGCUAACUACGUGCCAGCAGCCGCGGUAAUACGUAGGGUGCAAGCGUUAAUCGGAAUUACUGGGCGUAAAGCGUGCGCAGGCGGUUCGGAAAGAAAGAUGUGAAAUCCCAGAGCUUAACUUUGGAACUGCAUUUUUAACUACCGGGCUAGAGUGUGUCAGAGGGAGGUGGAAUUCCGCGUGUAGCAGUGAAAUGCGUAGAUAUGCGGAGGAACACCGAUGGCGAAGGCAGCCUCCUGGGAUAACACUGACGCUCAUGCACGAAAGCGUGGGGAGCAAACAGGAUUAGAUACCCUGGUAGUCCACGCCCUAAACGAUGUCAACUAGCUGUUGGGGGCCUUUCGGGCCUUGGUAGCGCAGCUAACGCGUGAAGUUGACCGCCUGGGGGAGUACGGUCGCAAGAUUAAAACUCAAAUGAAUUGACGGGGUCGAU